rnacentral:rRNA from 1 species
GAUGAACGCUGGCGGCGUGCCUAAUACAUGCAAGUCGAGCGAACAGACGAGGAGCUUGCUCCUCUGACGUUAGCGGCGGACGUGUGAGUAACACGUGGAUAACCUACCUAUAAGACUGGGAUCACUUCGGGAAACGGGAUCUAAUACCGGAUAAUAUAUUGAACCGCAUGGUUCAAUAGUGAAAGACGGUUUUGCUGUCACUUAUAGAUGGAUCCGCGCCGCAUUAGCUAGUUGGUAAGGUAAUGGCUUACCAAGGCAACGAUGCGUAGCCGAGCUGAGAGGGUGAUCGGCCACACUGGAGCUGUGACAGGGUCCAGGCUCCUACGGGAGGCAGCAGUAGGGAAUCUGCCGCAAUGGGCGAAAGCCUGACGGAGCAACGGCGCGUGAGUGAUAACGGUCUUCGGAUCGUAAAACUCUGUUAUGAGGGAAGAACAAAUGUGUAAGUAACUAUGCACGUCUUGACGGUACCUAAUCAGAAAGCCACGGCUAACUACGUG